CAGAACUGAGAGGAGCCUAACUAGAAUCUCUGAGGCUUGCUGGCUGCCAGAAUAGCAAUGAAACAAAACAAAACAAACAAAACAAACUAGGGUCAGUAAAAGAACCUAUGUCAAAUGAACAAAAUAUAGUGAGGUAAAGAUAGCAGAUACCCAGCAUCCUUCUCUGGCCUCUGCUCCCGCCAGUGCGCAGAGGCCCCACACCUACAUACGACUCAUACACAUAGACACAAAGAUGCAUGCCCCCCACACACACCUACAUAUGCCUCAUACACAUAGACACAGACACAUGCCCCCCACACACACCUACAUACGCCUCAUACACAUAGACACAAAGACACAUGUCCCACACACACCUACAUACGCCUCAUACACAUAGACACAAAGACACAUGCCCCCCCACACACACCUACAUACCCCUCAUACACAUAGACACAAAGACACAUGCCCCCCCACACACAUACAGAGGCCCCCCCACACACACCUACAUAUGCCUCAUACACAUAGACACAAAGACACAUGCCCCCCCACACACAUACAGAGGCCCCCCCACACACACCUACAUAUGCCUCAUACACAUAGACACAAAGAUGCAUGCCCCCCACACACACCUACAUAUGCCUCAUACACAUAGACACAGACACAUGCCCCCCACACACACCUACAUACGCCUCAUACACAUAGACACAAAGACACAUGUCCCACACACACCUACAUACGCCUCAUACACAUAGACACAAAGACACAUGCCCCCCCACACACACCUACAUACGCCUCAUACACAUAGACACAAAGACACAUGCCCCCCCACACACAUACAGAGGCCCCCCCACACACACCUACAUACGCCUCAUACACAUAGACACAAAGACACAUGCCCCCCCACACACAUACAGAGGCCCCCCCACACACACCUACAUAUGCCUCAUACACAUAGACACAGACACAUGCCCCCCACACACACCUACAUACGCCUCAUACACAUAGACACAAAGACACAUGUCCCACACACACCUACAUACGCCUCAUACACAUAGACACAAAGACACAUGCCCCCCCACACACACCUACAUACGCCUCAUACACAUAGACACAAAGACACAUGCCCCCCCACACACACCUACAUACGCCUCAUACACAUAGACACAAAGACACAUGCCCCCCCACACACACAGAGGCCCCCCACACACACCUACAUACGCCUCAUACACAUAGACACAAAGACGCAUGCCCCACACACACACCUACAUACGCCUCAUACACAUAGACACAAAGACGCAUGCCCCACACACACACCUACAUACGCCUCAUACACAUAGACACAAAGACGCAUGCCCCACACAUCAUACACAUAGACACAAAGACACAUGCCCCCCACACACCUACAUAUGUCUCAUACACAUAGACACAAAGACACAUGCCCCCCACACACACCUACAUAUGUCUCAUACACAUAGACACAAAGACACAUGCCUCCCCACACCCACAGAGGCCCCCACACCUACAUACACCUCACCACAUAUG
rnacentral:lncRNA from 1 species